GCUAUCGUGGUGGAAUUGGCAGACACAGCAGACUCAAAAUCUGCUGCUGGAAACAGUGUAAGGGUUCAAGUCCCUUCGAUAGCACCA
rnacentral:tRNA from 1 species